UACGGAGGAUCCGAGCGUUAUCCGGAUUUAUUGGGUUUAAAGGGUGCGUAGGUGGCUUUUUAAGUCAGGGGUGAAAGACGGUAGCUUAACUAUCGCAGUGCCUUUGAUACUGAAGAGCUUGAAUGAACUAGAGGUAGGCGGAAUGUGACAAGUAGCGGUGAAAUGCAUAGAUAUCGGAAGGAACACCAGUGGCGAAAGCGGCUUCCUGGUCCAGCACCGACGUUCAGGCACGAAAGCGUGGGGAGCAAACAGG
rnacentral:rRNA from 1 species